AGGAGCCUAAUACAAUCUACUGUUUGUUUUCUGUACCGGCUCCCAAAAACCAUUUGACAACCAUAUUCUUCUUCAGCUGAUCUGUAUGUGACAUAUUUCCAUGUUCUCUUCAUUAAUUUUGGGUCCCAUGUUAAUUGAUCUUGCGUUUCAUUUGUAAAAGUUUGGGUAUGAGGAUUGAGAUUCUUGACUGCAUUAUUACAUUAUUCACCUACAAUCUACUGUUCGUUUUCUGUACCGGCUCCCCAAAACCAUUUUACAACCAUUCUUCUUGAGCUGAUAUUUCCAUGUCCUCUUCAUUAAUUUUGGGGUCCCAUGUUAAUUGAUCGUGCAUUUCAUUUGUAAAAGUUUGGGUAUGAGUAUCGAGAUUCUUGAUUGCAUUAUUACAUUAUUCACCUGUACAGGUAAUAUUUAGCUGAUCUGUCCAAAGAAUGGGAGUUGUAGAGUUGGGCGAUGCCCUUACCAGACAUCAAUUGUACUGAUUUUGUAGAUGGAUAUAUUUAGAAGUUAAUCUUAAAAUUAGUUGAUACAAUUGAGAUCCCUU
rnacentral:lncRNA from 1 species